CCCCUAGUAACUGCGAGUGAAGCGGGAAAAGCUCAAAUUUAAAAUCUGGCAGUCUUUGGCUGUCCGAGUUGUAAUCUAGAGAAGUGUUAUCCGCGCUGGACCGUGUACAAGUCUCCUGGAAUGGAGCGUCAUAGAGGGUGAGAAUCCCGUCUUUGACACGGACUGCCAGGGCUUUGUGAUGCGCUCUCGAAGAGUCGAGUUGUUUGGGAAUGCAGCUCAAAAUGGGUGGUAAAUUCCAUCUAAAGCUAAAUAUUGGCGAGAGACCGAUAGCGAACAAGUACCGUGAGGGAAAGAUGAAAAGAACUUUGGAAAGAGAGUUAAACAGUACGUGAAAUUGCUGAAAGGGAAACGCUUGAAGUCAGUCGCGUUGUCCAGGGAUCAACCUUGCUUUUGCUUGGUGCACUUUCUGGUUGACGGGUCAGCAUCAAUUUUGACCAUUGGAAAAAGAUUAGGGGAAUGUGGCAUCUUCGGAUGUGUUAUAGCCCUUGGUUGCAUACAAUGGUUGGGAUUGAGGAACUCAGCACGCCGCAAGGCCGGGUUUUUAACCACGUACGUGCUUAGGAUGCUGGCAUAAUGGCUUUAAUCGACCCGUCUUGAAACACGGACCAAGGAGUCUAACAUGCCUGCGAGUGUUUGGGUGGAAAACCCGAGCGCGUAAUGAAAGUGAAAGUUGAGAUCCCUGUCGUGGGGAGCAUCGACGCCCGGACCAGACCUUUUGUGACGGUUCCGCGGUAGAGCAUGUAUGUUGGGACCCGAAAGAUGGUGAACUAUGCCUGAAUAGGGUGAAGCCAGAGGAAACUCUGGUGGAGGCUCGUAGCGAUUCUGACGUGCA
rnacentral:rRNA from 1 species